CCCUCGCACCGCCGCUGUGCGCUCCUGCGCUUCUGGGCCAGCUGGACUGGGAGACCUACACCCCAGUACCUCAAGCCCACCCAGAUGGAAGGAAGGUGGUGACACCGUGGUGUCCGCAGCGUGCCCUGCGCAUCCUGCCUCUCAUUCAGCCUCUAGACAUCAGCCCUGCGAUCCUGGUACAAUAGGGAGCCAGGUGGCCCGGGGUCAGCAGCAGGGACCUCAUAACUAACAGAAGGAACCCCAUCUCCCAGCCCGAGUUCCAGCUUCAACUCCCUAUCACGUCUCCUGCAGCCUAGAGUCCAAGGAAUGGCACCCUGCACCCGCAUCCCGUGGAGCGCCCUGGUCACCCCGAGGAGGAAGUCUGGUUCACAGCAGACCCCGAGUGCUCUAUCAUAUCUAGCAUACUGUGACCAACCCCCAGCCUACCUUCACAUAGUCCCCAGCGGCCUCCAGCUCUGCAGCAGUCCUGGAAGAAGAAAAAAAGAGAAUUUCACCUUUAGGAACCUCUGACCUGGACCAGAAGGAAGACUGAACUUCCACAAGGAUCCUGGAGACGUGGAGAAGGAGGCUGCCCCACCCCUCUGCCAGGCAUGGCCUUACCCUCUGUACAGGCCUGGCUGCCCUCUUUCUGUCCUGAGUUUCUUCCUUUGGGCCUUAGGGUCUGGUCAUAAGGCCCGAGAAGAGAGAUGUGCAGGUCUGACACCUGCCUCCCUCUCUCUGAGGCUUGGCUUCCUCAUCGUCUGAGGGGACAUCAUGUGUGCCUGGAAGGCCACGAUGCUCAUGUGACCGUGAGCGCCGGGACCCCUCGCCCCAGUGGGCUCCAGAUCCCGAUGCCGUUCUCCUGGGGUAUUAGACCUUUCCUUACAUAGACCCUGUUUCUGUUUUGCUCAGUUUUGUUAUGUUUUCAAGAUAAAAGUCUAGGCUUGUCU